ACACGGGGGGGGCAAGCGUUGUCCGGAAUUAUUGGGCGUAAAGGGCACGUAGGCGGGAUGAUCAGUCUGAGGUGAAAGCUUGCGGCUUAACCGUAAGUCUGCCUUGGAUACUGUCAUUCUUGAGUUCGGAAGAGGGAAGUGGAAUUCCUGGUGUAGCGGUGAAAUACGUAGAUAUCAGGAAGAACACCGGUGGCGAAGGCGGCUUCCUGGUCCGAUACUGACGCUGAUGUGCGAAAGCGUGGGGAGCAAACAGGAUUAGAAACCCCAGUAGUCC
rnacentral:rRNA from 1 species